rnacentral:rRNA from 1 species
AUGGGCAGCAGCGGGCCCGCUGAGGUUACAGCUUUGAGUGUGAAGCUACGGCUAUUCCUAGUUAUCCCGUUGAGAAGCUGGCUGAUUAAACAGAACAAAGACUACAAAAUUAUUUCAGCUACUAGAAAAAACGUCUGGCCCUUCUUCACCCUGGUGAAAGAAAAGGUUGUGGAGCUUGCCAAGGCCAUGGAAUCAGAAGACGGUGUAACGGGUGCAGUCAGGGCAUUCCUCAAACACCUGCCCUGUAAAACGGAUGAAAAUACACCCCGACCUACGCACGGCUUUCUAGAGUUCCUAGGCCUAGUCUUCAGAAAAUACAACUCUAUGGAUAUAUUACUUGAGAAAUUUGAGUUUUAUAAGCUCAUGACAUCAUGCAUCGCUGGGCGAUCCUUCGGUGAUUCCGCUGAGCAUAAUAAGCCAAGUCUAAGGAGCCGGAGAGCACAUAUAUCCUUCAGUGCAAAUGUGUUGUGUUCUUGCAAGUUCUGGUGUCCUACAACUAUUGUACCUUUCUUUGGCGACCAACCAUUCUGGGGUGAGCGGGUGCAUGCUAGAGGGGUAGGGCCUUCGCCUAUACCGGUUGAUCAAUUCACUUUGCAGAAGUUGGUUGAUGCUAUAAAAUUCAUGUUGGAUCCAGAGGUGAAAGAAAAGGCUGUGGAGCUUGCCAAGGCCAUGGAAUCUGAAGACGGCGUAACGGGUGCAGUCAGGGCAUUCCGCAAACACCUGCCCUGUAAAACAGAUGAAAACUCACCCCCACCAACGCACGGCUUUCUAGAGUUCCUAGGCCCAUAUUUGUCUGGUGAUUUUAAUACAUCAUUUUGGUGUGGUUGCAACCUUGGCCUGCAGGAACAGAUGAUCCCUCAUGUAUGA